GUCUCUUCGGAGGCAUCCGAUAAAUUUAAAACUAUACAGAAGAAUAGCAUGGCCCCUACACAAGAAUGACACGCAUAAAUCGAAAAAUGGUUCAAUUUAAA